GCAAGUCGAGCGCGCCCUUCGGGGUGAGCGGCGGACGGGUGAGUAACGCGUAGGAAUCUACCUGGUAGUGGGGGACAACUCGGGGAAACUCGAGCUAAUACCGCAUACGCCCUACGGGGGAAAGCGGGGGACCUUCGGGCCUCGCGCUAUCAGAUGAGCCUGCGUUGGAUUAGCUAGUUGGUGGGGUAAUGGCCUACCAAGGCGACGAUCCAUAGCUGGUCUGAGAGGAUGAUC
rnacentral:rRNA from 1 species